GGUCGCUUGGCCGAGUGGAUACAGGCAGUGGAUUGCAAAUCCAUUUACACAGGUUCGAUUCCUGUAGCGGCCU
rnacentral:tRNA from 1 species